AUGGCUCUCUGGACCCAGGGAAGCGAGAGCCAGCCCAUCAGGUGAGCCACCGACAAGAACUAGAGACAGAGGUAGCAGAGGGCUGAGUGAACCCAGCUACAAACACAGAAUGAAAAAUCUCUACAAUCUGAGUCAGUGAAAGCAUCAAUAAAAGGAGCUUCCCCCACCCCCCCACUUUUUCUUAUAAAAGGAUAUGAAUAAGGACAAGUACAAACCAGGAAAUGAAAAAUAAGUUAAAAGCAUCAUCCAAAUAUCCUGGUGAGUAAGAUCUCAAAAAAGAUGAGAGGGGGGAAGGCUUGAGGAUUUGUGCACGUAUUUCACUGUGCUUGGGUAUCCAAAGGGCUCAGGUGCUCUGGUGAGAAGCCGGCCAUGACAAUGAAACUGAAAUGACCUUCUCUGGAUGACAGUUUUGGCAACACAAGGAAGUCAAGAGGAAGAGCCACUAAUGCUGACAGGUAAAGGUGACACAAGCAGAGUCUGCGGUUGUUUAGGAUGACAGCGUCCCUGCAACUGCAUAAACGAAGAGGACAGCACCCAAUUCCUGCGGUUCUGCUGCUAACCCGCUUCGGUCAGGUGGUGAGUGACGAACCCGCACCGUUCUUCUUGCUAUUGUUUUAGUAAGAUUCUUUGAACUUGCCCCUCAGAAAAGUGGGCUGCUGCUGGGCUGCUGUCCCCGUAGGGGCUGGCGCAGACACACAGUCCGCUCAGACACUGCUCGGCGACCAGAGGCUCUGCUCCCCACACGGGCGCCCGGGCCCGGGGAGCAGGAGUCUGCGCAGCCACAAGCAGACGCCCAGGGAGCUCAUCCCCGCAGUCACCAAGUCAUACUGAGACAGCCGUGGUCUCCACAGCCAAGUCAUUGUUUAAAAGAGAACAAGUUCUGUAGGAGUAACACCACUUCUUGUUCCGACGAUGACACAACCAGCAGCAUCAAGGGCCUGAGCCAGUCCUGAUGCACAUGAUGGGCAGGCGUUCACCAGGGGAGCCAGCUUACCCCAGAAAACCCCGUCACAAGGAAUUCAGGAGUGGGAGUAAGAAAGAAAAACCACGGACUGUUCAGUGGCAACCAGGGCUGUUGCUUCUGUGAACAUAUGGAGGACUGAGCAACAGCGGCGUGUAUUCAGUGGGGAUGAUGGAUCCAACCUCUAUCAGCACAGACUGCAGAGGCAGACAGCACCACUGACUGGAACCACUCUCCUUCAAAACCCGCUCUUGACUUUUACCAGUGUGGUGCAAUGAAGUGACAAAAAGAGGAAAUUCUGUAAAACAAAGAAACAAACCCUAGGAGUUUAAAUUCUUUGAUUUUAAGACAAAUGUGGGUGAAAUGAGCAGUGCCUUUGAGAGCUUGCUUUAUGGCAACGGAUGAAGUGUCUAGGUCAGAGUUUCUGAGCGCAUCGCUGAAUUGUUUUUUCCUUGAAGGGUAAGAGAAUAUGCUACCUCAAAAUACGCCACACCGGCAUAUAAAAACUAUUUUGAGCUGAAGGCAACUGAGAAAGAGCAGAUACAAAAAAGCUCUCUCUUUUCCCCUAUUUGCCCAAAAGCAGGGUGUAAAUUUGUGCAGGCACUUGCCCACUCUGCCCCCUGACCAGGAAGGACAGAAGCUAAUCACUGGAGACAACUCUGGACCCUCAUCAGCCCACACACAGCUCCAGAAGAAUUUACAUGACAAACUUCAGGAACUGGCCGUUAUCUUCCAUUAGUCCUCCCUGUUUACCUUCCCACAAUCUGCUACCCUAGAAACUUUAAGUCCUUUCCCUUUGUCUUGUCACUUUUCCAAAAACGUUCUGUUCUGCUGUUAAUAUGCAAUAUAAGCCCAAGCUCUACGCACCCAUUUGAGUUACUCAUCUCUGAAAGCUUCCACAGCUAAAUGCAAUGCAUGUGUUAAUAAACUUGUUUCUUUUUCUCUAGUCAA